rnacentral:rRNA from 1 species
CCGGCGACCGGCGCACGGGUGAGUAACACGUAUGGAACCUGCCCGCAGCAGGGGGAUAAGCGGAAGAAAUUCCGUCUAAUACCGCGUAACAACGUUGGGAGGCAUCUCCCGAUGGUUUAAAGAGUUUAUCGGCUGCGGAUGGCCAUGCGGCGCAUUAGCUAGUCGGCGGGGUAACGGCCCACCGAGGCGACGAUGCGUAGGGGUUCUGAGAGGAAGGUCCCCCACACUGGUACUGAGACACGGACCAGACUCCUACGGGAGGCAGCAG